GACAGAGGGUGCUAGCGUUGUUCGGAAUUACUGGGCGUAAAGGGCGCGUAGGCGGCUCGUUUAGUCGGGUGUGAAAUCCUGGAGCUCAACUCCAGAACUGCCUUCGAUACUGGAAGACUUGAGUCCGGGAGAGGUGAGUGGAACUGCGAGUGUAGAGGUGAAAUUCGUAGAUAUUCGCAAGAACACCAGUGGCGAAGGCGGCUCACUGGCCCGGUACUGACGCUGAGGUGCGAAAAGCGUGGGGAGCAAACAGG
rnacentral:rRNA from 1 species